CCAACGGCUCUUUUAAGAGCCACCACAAUUUACUAAGAGCAAAACC
rfam:Orchesella cincta Ocin01_Sc5093, whole genome shotgun sequence.